CUUCCCUCUGUCCAGAUGGCUUCAACAGCCUUGACUGAAGAGGUGGAACAGAAAGGCUACUCUCAUCAUCUCCCCCCUCAAGAAGUAGGUACCCAAAUUCAUUCGGAAAGAAGGGCGAGGGUCAUGCAUUCCUCAUCAGGACACCUGGAUUCUGGGCUUGCACUUGGCUGACACUGACUAUCUAUGACCCCUGGAGAUUAAAAAGUACAAACCAGAGGAAUAGUCUUGAGACCAGGAAACUCGAAGGGGAAGCAAUUCUAUGAUUUUAAGUUUGCAAAGGCACUUGACAAAUAUUAUCUCAUUUGAUCCUCACAACAAG